CAGGUAACAAAGCCACGGUUGUGAGUUUGUUCCUCUUAUUAACAGUUUUGCUCAUUUCCAUGGAUCAUCACAUCCCUAACCUAGAUCAGCUGGGGAUGGGGAGAGUGGUUGCCAUUCUCCUCAGAAGUCACAGACUCUGAACCACUGACCCUUACAGCAUUUACUAAUGCUCCUGUAUGUCCUUGUGGAUGAAGGAUAUAUCUUGAUUAUCUGAGACUAUUGCUUGGCUGUUACCUACCAGAGAAUGGGCAUGCCAUUGCAAAGGAACACCAGCUGCAUAGGCUACCAUGUGC